CCAUAGUUUGCAAUCACCAAAUAUUCUCCGCUAUCAGUGAAACCAGAAGACUCGUGAUUAUUACACAGUUAUGUAAACAUUAAAGGGUUUCAAACAAGCUGUUUUAUUUGCAAAUGGAAUAAUUAAUUAGAUUAAAAUAAUAAUUGAAAUGUUAGGGAGAUAUAGUUAGAUGCUAGCCAUAGGCGUUCAUUUACGUACUAUUUACAUAAUAAACAUGGCGUUCAAAAUAAACAUUUCUAAAACAGACCAUACGCUAAAUACUUAUUCAAUGUAGUAGUUCACUUGAAUGCUUAUAAUCUAGUAGCUGAAUAAAUUGCGUAGAAUCAUUUUACAACCUUUUAUGUACACUUCAAUGUCCUUGAAUGUAUAAGUUUUGAAUAUAGCUUUAAAUUAAUUUUCUUUGAAAUAUGUGUAAAAGCACAAUUUAGUCAAUUUGAAAUAUUAUACUUGUAUACUUUAAAAGUACAAGUUUACCCUUGAAUUACCUAGAUGUGAAAUAAUACAUUAAUUCAAAGUGAUUUAGGAACCUUGUCUGCACGUAAUGAUAUAAAUACCAAUAUAUGCAGCUAUGUGAACCUAACAGAGAGACUGCCUGGAAACAAGAAGAAUUUUGCCUAACUGUCAGUUGUUGCAGCUAAACGGUCACCUUGCUGACAAAGUCUCACAAUGUAGCUUCGCCCUUCGCCAAGGGUAAGGUUGCAAAAAAACUACACAACUUUACACAGUUUUUAUUGACAAGGUACAAAUUUGUUUGGAUAAAUAGUCUGGACAAGAUCUCAACCCCCUUCCCAAAAUAAUCUCAAAUUUACGCAAUGACUGAAAAAAGUACGUCUAUCUGCUCCUGGUUUUUAAAACUUUUCUCCUGCAUGGCCGACGAUUUCGAGGACGAGAAGAACUUUGUCUUCUUUGCGAACAAAAAGAACUGUCCAUUUUCGCAACAUUCGCGAUAUCAAACAUGGAAAAAAUUUCUAGAAGAGAACAAACCUCGAUACGAGAACAAUUUCAAUUUCGACAUAAAUUUCUGUAACAUCCAAGACCAGUAUUAUCCUUCGAAGGGGUGGAGAAAGUGUCACUUUAGAAAGUACUAUUGCCACUUUAACGACUCCCUGUCUGAUCUGGAGGAGAAGGAGGAGGACGAGGAGGAGGGUGUGGUGGACUCAAGCCUUGCCAAAAGGGGAGACCAAAUACAAACUAAUUUUAAAAAGUGUCACUUUAGUUAGACGAAUAUCAGUAUUUUUUGAAAUCACUGAAUACGUAUGCGAAAUUUUUGCAUCUGCAUAAAGCCACUAUUUACAGCACCGUUUACUGAUCCUUAGUUCCGUCUUUGUGUACGUUUAAUUUAGUGUGCGUUUGUUAAAUAUGUUAUAACACGCUGUCAAUUUUAUUUUAGAAUAUGCGUAUGUUUGUUACUGAUAUUGUUUAAUUAGGUACACGAUUAAUGAGUUGAAUAAUAUGUACAAGAUGAAUGUUAACGAUGCACAAUUUGGUAAUGUAAUAAACGUUAUUUAUUAUCAGCA